AGGACGAACGCUGGCGGCGUGCUUAACACAUGCAAGUCGAGCGGAAAGGCCCUUCGGGGUACUCGAGCGGCGAACGGGUGAGUAACACGUGAGUAAUCUGCCCCUAGCUCUGGGAUAGCUCCGGGAAAACCGGGAUUAAUACCGGAUACGACCACCUUAGACAUCUUUUGUGGUGGAAAGAAUUUCGGCUAGGGAUGAGCUCGCGGCCUAUCAGCUUGUUGGUGGGGUAACGGCCUACCAAGGCGACGACGGGUAGCCGGCCUGAGAGGGCGACCGGCCACACUGGGACUGAGACACGGCCCAGACUCCUACGGGAGGCAGCAGUGGGGAAUAUUGCGCAAUGGGCGAAAGCCUGACGCAGCGACGCCGCGUGGGGGAUGAAGGCCUUCGGGUUGUAAACCCUUUCAGCAGGGACGAAGCGAAAGUGACGGUACCUGCAGAAGAAGCGCCGGCUAACUACGUGCCAGCAGCCGC
rnacentral:rRNA from 1 species